CUCAGAUCAAAAUAGCUGUUUGUCCUGUCUGCUGGUUGGCAAGCAAGCAGUGAUAAUGAAGACUUCAGAGCACACAGAUCGUCCAGCUCUGCUGGAGACCAGAGGCCAAGAGAAUGAAGGAGAAAAAAACAGAGUAAUUUGUGUCUGUGUUGACAGACUGGCGACCUGUCAGGGUGAACCCCGCCUCUCACCCCGAACCUGAGAGGCGGGGUGAGAGGCACUAGCACCUCCCGACCCCGAUAGGGACAAGGGCGAACAGGAAGUGGAUGGAUGGAUCUUCCAGUAUUUUCCUUUUGUCUUGUCAGUAGUUAGACUGGAUGCCAGCAGUUAAAGAAAAAAGAUUAAUUGUGGAAUAAUUCAGCUGUAAAGCUUGGCUAUUUUGUUAAUACAUUUUCAGAUUUGACUAGAAA